GCGAGGGUAGCCAAGCCCGGCCAAAGGCGCUGGACUUAAGAUCCAGCCUCGAAGGAGUUCAAGGGUUCGAAUCCCUUCCCUCGCA
rfam:Candidatus Methanosphaerula palustris E1-9c, complete genome.